CUUGGCGAUUAUGGCGGUAGUGGUACACCUGUUCUCAUUCCGAACACAGAAGUUAAGCCUACCAGCGCCAAUGGUACUACCCCUCCUUAGUUUAUAAAAAUAAUUUGUAAAUUAAGGAGGGGUGGGAGAGUAGGUCAUCGCCAAGA
rnacentral:rRNA from 4 species